GACGCGCGCCGGUUGUUAUGGUUGCCGCUCCACUCCGGUCUAUUUUUCUUUUCCAACGAUAUUAUUGCUGUUUUGCUACUUUCAUCCUUACUUUUGAAAUGCGGAGGAUUGCUUUUGAUCAUACUGUCUCUGGAUUCUCUGCGUCGCUGUCAUCUGCUGCUUUGUUUUUCUUACCGGCAUCGGCUGGUUACGCUAGCUGUUUCAGUUACCGACCCACCGCUAUUGGUGCUUUUGGCUGUCUGCGAGCCCGCUCCAACUGGUUUGCACCCAUUACAGCUCUGCUGUGCUCAUAUUACCUGGACGAUGUCCCCAAGGCAGUAAUCAAGGCCUGCAGCAGACCACUGAUAAAGGUGUAGGGGUUCCUACGUGUAACGAUUAAAAACAGUAGAGGCAAAGCAAGAAGGCUGUGGAUGAUUAAACCAAUGAUGACACAGACUGUGUACAUUCCGAGCUGCCCUCCAACCUGUGAUAGGUCCUUCAUCUCAACAAUCUUCCCAGCAAUCAGAAAGAGGAUCCCAACCGGUGCAUACCUUAGAAAUAAUAAAGAAGUAAUUGUAGACA